rnacentral:rRNA from 1 species
CCGGCGAUGUCCGAAUGGGGAAACCCAGUGCAAUUCGUUGCACUAUCGUUAACUGAAUACAUAGGUUAACGAGGCGAACCGGGGGAACUGAAACAUCUAAGUACCCCGAGGAAAAGAAAUCAACCGAGAUUCCCCCAGUAGCGGCGAGCGAACGGGGAGCAGCCCAGAGUCUGAAUCAGCUUGUGUGUUAGUGGAACGGUCUGGAAAGUCCGACGGUACAGGGUGAUAGUCCCGUACACCAAAAUGCACAGGCUGUGAACUCGAAGAGUAGGGCGGGACACGUGGUAUCCUGUCUGAAUAUGGGGGGACCAUCCUCCAAGGCUAAAUACUCCUGACUGACCGAUAGUGAACCAGUACCGUGAGGGAAAGGCGAAAAGAACCCCGGCGAGGGGAGUGAAAAAGAACCUGAAACCGUGUACGUACAAGCAGUGGGAGCACCUUCGGGUGUGACUGCGUACCUUUUGUAUAAUGGGUCAGCGACUUAUAUUCUGUAGCAAGGUUAACCGUAUAGGGGAGCCGCAGGGAAACCGAGUCUUAACUGGGCGUUAAGUUGCAGGGUAUAGACCCGAAACCCGGUGAUCUAGCCAUGGGCAGGUUGAAGGUUGGGUAACACUAACUGGAGGACCGAACCGACUAAUGUUGAAAAAUUAGCGGAUGACUUGUGGCUGGGGGUGAAAGGCCAAUCAAACCGGGAGAUAGCUGGUUCUCCCCGAAAGCUAUUUAGGUAGCGCCUCGUGAACUCAUCUUCGGGGGUAGAGCACUGUUUCGGCUAGGGGGUCAUCCCGACUUACCAACCCGAUGCAAACUACGAAUACCGAAGAAUGUUAUCACGGGAGACACACGGCGGGUGCUAACGUCCGUCGUGAAGAGGGAAACAACCCAGACCGCCAGCUAAGGUCCCAAAGUCAUGGUUAAGUGGGAAACGAUGUGGGAAGGCACAGACAGCCAGGAUGUUGGCUUAGAAGCAGCCAUCAUUUAAAGAAAGCGUAAUAGCUCACUGGUCGAGUCGGCCUGCGCGGAAGAUGUAACGGGGCUAAACCAUGCACCGAAGCUGCGGCAGCGACACUAUGUGUUGUUGGGUAGGGGAGCGUUCUGUAAGCCUGCGAAGGUGUGCUGUGAGGCAUGCUGGAGGUAUCAGAAGUGCGAAUGCUGACAUAAGUAACGAUAAAGCGGGUGAAAAGCCCGCUCGCCGGAAGACCAAGGGUUCCUGUCCAACGUUAAUCGGGGCAGGGUGAGUCGACCCCUAAGGCGAGGCCGAAAGGCGUAGUCGAUGGGAAACAGGUUAAUAUUCCUGUACUUGGUGUUACUGCGAAGGGGGGACGGAGAAGGCUAUGUUAGCCGGGCGACGGUUGUCCCGGUUUAAGCAUGUAGGCUGGUUGUCCAGGCAAAUCCGGAUAAUCAAGGCUGAGGUGUGAUGACGAGGCACUACGGUGCUGAAGUAACAAAUGCCCUGCUUCCAGGAAAAGCCUCUAAGCAUCAGGUAACAUCAAAUCGUACCCCAAACCGACACAGGUGGUCAGGUAGAGAAUACCAAGGCGCUUGAGAGAACUCGGGUGAAGGAACUAGGCAAAAUGGUGCCGUAACUUCGGGAGAAGGCACGCUGGUGUGUAGGUGAAGUCCCUGCGGAUGGAGCUGAGACCAGUCGAAGAUACCAGCUGGCUGCAACUGUUUAUUAAAAACACAGCACUGUGCAAACACGAAAGUGGACGUAUACGGUGUGACGCCUGCCCGGUGCCGGAAGGUUAAUUGAUGGGGUUAUCCGUAAGGAGAAGCUCUUGAUCGAAGCCCCGGUAAACGGCGGCCGUAACUAUAACGGUCCUAAGGUAGCGAAAUUCCUUGUCGGGUAAGUUCCGACCUGCACGAAUGGCGUAAUGAUGGCCAGGCUGUCUCCACCCGAGACUCAGUGAAAUUGAACUCGCUGUGAAGAUGCAGUGUACCCGCGGCAAGACGGAAAGACCCCGUGAACCUUUACUAUAGCUUGACACUGAACAUUGAGCCUUGAUGUGUAGGAUAGGUGGGAGGCUUUGAAGCGUGGACGCCAGUCUGCGUGGAGCCAACCUUGAAAUACCACCCUUUAAUGUUUGAUGUUCUAACGUUGGCCCCUUACCGGGGUUGCGGACAGUGUCUGGUGGGUAGUUUGACUGGGGCGGUCUCCUCCCAAAGCGUAACGGAGGAGCACGAAGGUUAGCUAAUCCUGGUCGGACAUCAGGAGGUUAGUGCAAUGGCAUAAGCUAGCUUGACUGCGAGCGUGACGGCGCGAGCAGGUGCGAAAGCAGGUCAUAGUGAUCCGGUGGUUCUGAAUGGAAGGGCCAUCGCUCAACGGAUAAAAGGUACUCCGGGGAUAACAGGCUGAUACCGCCCAAGAGUUCAUAUCGACGGCGGUGUUUGGCACCUCGAUGUCGGCUCAUCACAUCCUGGGGCUGAAGUAGGUCCCAAGGGUAUGGCUGUUCGCCAUUUAAAGUGGUACGCGAGCUGGGUUUAGAACGUCGUGAGACAGUUCGGUCCCUAUCUGCCGUGGGCGCUGGAGAAUUGAGGGGGGCUGCUCCUAGUACGAGAGGACCGGAGUGGACGCAUCACUGGUGUUCGGGUUGUCAUGCCAAUGGCACUGCCCGGUAGCUAAAUGCGGAAGAGAUAAGUGCUGAAAGCAUCUAAGCACGAAACUUGCCCCGAGAUGAGUUCUCCCUGAGACUUUAAGUCUCCUGAAGGAACGUUAAAGACGAUGACGUUGAUAGGCCGGGUGUGUAAGCGCAGCGAUGCGUUGAGCUAACCGGUACUAAUGAACCGUGAGGCUUAACCUU